rnacentral:lncRNA from 1 species
CCCACUGUAUCUAAGGCAUGUUCAAAAUUCAAAACCUAAUUGCUUCAUAUUUUUAGCUUAGUUCAUUUCAGAACAAAGCAAAUAAUUUGCCAUCUCUCUCUCUCUCAAAAAAAGAAAUAUUUGACUAUAAAAAGAAGGUUAGUUAAGGCUAUGAAAACAAAAGAGGCAAUUGUUUAUAUACCUCUGAAAAGUUCACGACUUUUUGAUUUACCCUUUUAGGCUUCGUUCGGGAUUGCAGAAAGAUUGCGUUACGUGCGGUAAGAAAGUACGUUGAAAAAAUACUCUGUUUAUUUUCGUACGUAAUAUUGCAUUUCGCAUAUCGCGAUGAGUCAGUUACGAUAUAUUUUCUGCGGUCCCAUCGGGGAAUGCAGAAGUAUAUCCCUAUAUGCUUUUUUUCCAACUCCAUUUUAUCUAAUAGCGUUUGAUAGGCCUCAAUACCAAACUAAGCCUUAGAAGGUUAAUAUUAAAAAUACCCUUUUUACCCCUAGAGUUAAAUUUUGUUAAUAAACUGUUAGCAACAGCUGUUAUCUCUAUAAAAUUACUAUUUUGCCCUUUUAAAUAUACCCUUCUACUAUCACCAACAUUUCUUAUUUGUCCUUAAAGUCAGAGUAUAAAAGGUAUUUUAAUUUUUGGUCUUUUCAAAUAUACUAUUCUACUAUCACCAAUAUUUUUUAUUUGCUCUUAAGUUAAGGGUAAAAGAGACAUUUUGAUUUUUUUUUAACUCUGGUAGGUAUCUAACUCACGUUUAACCCAAGUUAACUUAACGAGUGGUAACUGCAAAGCUAUUUUAGAAUGACGGAGGAACAUAAGAGGGAUAUAUUGAAAAGAAAAAAAAAAGUAGAGGCAAAUAAGAUAUUUUCGAAGUUUCGUGAGUUAUAUAGACAAUUAUCCCAAAACAAAAAUAUAGAAAUGCUUCUGCAACUAUACAUCAACAUAUGCCGACCGUACCUAGCACAGUUGGCUAUAGACUUGAUGAUUGAUACAUGAAAUCUUAAAUUUAAAGCCUAGUUAUUUUACAUUUCUAGCUGAAUUCAUCUAUAAAUAAUAAACAAAGCAGGUAACUUGCAUUCUCUCUCUCUCUCUCUCUAAAAAAACAAAAAAACAAAAAAAAAAAAAACACUAUCCAUCAAUAGAAAACUCUACUA